rnacentral:lncRNA from 1 species
AUGACGCGGCUUGCGCCACGGGCACCAUCGUGACGGCACCCGAGACGCCGCCCGCCGGAAUGCCAACGUAGAGACCGGUCGGACCCCAACGCAUCCUGUAGGCACCGGCAGCCAGUUGGCGGCCCAGAGGCUGCGCCGGCUCGAUGGUCGUGUUGGGUGGGGCAUUGUGGCGCCUGCGCUCAUAAAUGACAAUGGCCACGACGAGCGCGAUCAACAGCAGCAGCGCGAUGCUGGCGAUGAUCCAGCCCCAAGGCACACGCGACGGCGAUGCGAGCGCGGCCACGGGCGUCGCCGCCGGCACGAGGACGGCCCCCGAGGCCGUGUCCACAUAGGCCGACAUGAAAGCGUCGGCGAUUUGCAAAGGAUGCUCGGCAAAAGAGCAGUGUCAAAAAUAGAGGCAGGGCAAGAAGGGACCGCACAGGGGCAGGAAAAGACGUAGAGCGCUGAUGGCACAGGCACUUUCCCUAUGGCGCGUCGGCACGCAUCGCCCGAGCGUCGGCCGGCGGCUGCCGUGACCUGCAGUGGCGCGGCGACGCCCCCGCCAACCGGCAACACGCACUCUUGCGGCCACCGUCGCCCAUGCGCGCCUGCUCUUGGAAACUGUGUGCGCGUGCGCACGCUCUCUCAAUGAUGACGCCCGCAAGUUGUGCCUCCCGCCCUCAAUCAGAGUUUGUUUGCCCCUCUUUUUUACCGCGCAAGUGCAUGCGCAAAGACCCAAAAGACACAAGGCGGCCCUGUACAGUGCACAUUGUUUCC